GACGAACGCUGGCGGCGUGCCUAAUACAUGCAAGUCGAGCGAAGUUUUUCUGGUGCUUGCACUAGAAAAACUUAGCGGCGAACGGGUGAGUAACACGUAAAGAACCUGCCUCAUAGACUGGGACAACUAAUGGAAACGAUAGCUAAUACCGGAUAACAGUAUUUCUCGCAUGAGAGAUAUUUAAAAGUUGGUUAUGCUAACACUAUGAGAUGGCUUUGCGGUGCAUUAGCUAGUUGGUGGGGUAAAGGCCCACCAAGGCGACGAUGCAUAGCCGACCUGAGAGGGUGAUCGGCCACACUGGGACUGAGACACGGCCCAGACUCCUACGGGAGGCAGCAGUAGGGAAUCUUCCGCAAUGGGCGAAAGCCUGACGGAGCAACGCCGCGUGAGUGAAGAAGGAUUUCGGUUCGUAAAGCUCUGUUGUUAGGGAAGAAUGGAUAUGUAGUAACUAUACAUGUAAGAGACGGUACCUAACCAGAAAGCCACGGCUAACUACGUG
rnacentral:rRNA from 1 species